CACUGUUGACAACAUGCCUGCACUAACACAUGAUAGGCCAGUCCAAACAUCCUCGUUCUGCCAGCAGUUUCCGUCUGUCGAUGCGGCAGGAAAUUAUGAUGUUGUGAAUAAUGUUGUCAUACCGACCCCAGGACCACCAGAUCCUAGAGCCCAGAAUUCUUUGCGGCAGAGUUGGGAAAUGAACUACCAGGAAGCAGCAAUAUAUCUGCAGGAGGGAGAGAAUAAUGACAAGUUUUU